GCAUCUGUGCAUGCAGCAUAUCAAUAAGCGGAGGAAAAGAAACUAACAAGGAUUCCCCUAGUAACGGCGAGUGAAGCGGGAAGAGCUCAAAUUUGAAAUCUUAAAGGGUUUCCCUUUACGAAUUGUAGUUUAAAGAAGUGUUUUCUGUUGAGGUUUUGGUAAAAGUUCUUUGGAAUAGGACAUCAUAGAGGGUGAGAAUCCCGUAUUUGACCUUUACCUUCAACUUUGUGAUACACUUUCAAAGAGUCGGAUUGUUUGGGAAUGCAGUCCAAAAUGGGUGGUAAAUUUCAUCUAAAGCUAAAUAUUGGCGAGAGACCGAUAGCGAACAAGUACCGUGAGGGAAAGAUGAAAAGAACUUUGAAAAGAGAGUUAAACAGUACGUGAAAUUGUCAAAAGGGAAGCGUUUGACACCAGUGUUGUUUUUCUGAAAAUCAAUUAAAGAACUGUUUAUGCUAAGCUGUUUAGACUUUAUCAGCUAUCUGUUUAGUUUCUGAGCUUUUCUUUAAUGCACUUUUCAGUUAACAAGUCAACAUCAAUUUCUUUUGCUGUAAAAAAGGCUUGAGGAAGGUGGCUUGAGAUUCGUCUUAAGUGUUUAUAGCCUCUUGCCUAUGCAGUCGGAGAGAUUGAGGUCUGCAGCGUAGAUCCUUCGGGGCUAAAUGCAUUUGUGCUAAGUUAUAGCAUUUUAUAGACAACUUGUUGACUAUGAUUUGUCUUGUAGCUUACUCGCUUAUGUUAUUUUACCUACGCUUAGGAUGUUGAGUCGUAGAGCACGCAG
rnacentral:rRNA from 1 species